CAACGGGAGAGGCCACAACAGUGAGAGGCCCGUGUACCGCAAAAAAAAAAGAAUUAGUCCAGAUAACCUGGAAGGAUUUUCACAAGGUUGUAUUGAGUAAGAAAAACAAGAUGCAUAAAGGUGUGCAUUAUUUCAUUAUUGUAAAACAAACAAGAUUUUAAAAGCCUGGAUACAUAUAUCUAUGUAUAUGUGUAUAUUAUACACAUAUUAUCUAUAGAAUUAAGUGAAUAGGGAGGGAAAAAGAAAAGAACACAAACUAGGCUGCUAAUAUGGUGAUCCAGCCAGGAGAUGGAGAAAUUGUAUACUGAUAGAGCAGGAGUAGAGGUGGAAAUUCUCUAGUACUAUUCUAUCAUGAUUCUAUCCAUUCAUAGUAAAUUUAUUUCCAAUAUAUCACUUCUGAUUCUUACUCCUUUUAGACUUAUACUUAGUUUCCUAGAACUAGAUAUAGGUCAAUAUAGCCUUGACUUAUACAAAGGGUCCCCACCUUCUCUCUCCAGAUACACUUUUUGAACAAAUUAUUCCCUCCCAUAUUAUUAUCAUGAUUCACAUCUCAUCAAAUUUUAGUGACACAUUCUAGCAUCAAAAUCAUUUUAAUACCUAUUCUCUCUUUUCUAAGAAUGUAAAUAUCUUAGGCCACAUAUAUUAUUUCCCUCCCUCAUCAUUGUGCUUCUUUCUAUGUCACACCUAUGAUAGUCUAUAGUACCAUGAGACCAGAAUUUUAUCUGUGUAUCUUCUUUCUGGAAAUUUUCGUUGUAAACAAUAUACUUCAUGAGCAGGUCACCUUGUGUCCUGCUGAAUACUCAGGCCUCAUGAGGUGUUGUCUAAGCUUCUCAGAUACUGAAUAUAUCACGGUAUGAAAGAAGCAACUCAAGUGACAUGAAGAAACUUUAAUGAAGAGAUUGUUAGCAGAGAUUUGGGACCCAGCAAAGGAAAUGGAGGCACACAGGGGCUUGCAAGAGCAGGAAGCUGUGACCACCCUAAGCCUAAAGGGACAAGGGAAGGAAUGAUGCUCCUGGAGACCAGGGAUUCCUGAAACCAUGAAAGAGUCAACCAAUAGAAGUUGCAGCUGUAUAUGGAUACAGCCACUGUCAAGAUCUCAACAAAGCUGGAAGAAAGAGAGGAGAAUAGGUAACCUCUCUUCCUGCCUGCUGAUCUUGUGUUGGGGCCUCCCAUUAGAAGAACCGGUUGGAAGCCACAGAGCAGGGGACUGGAUGACCAGUCUGCUUCCAGGACAUAACACCAGGCAGAGAAGGUCUAAGAAUAAAUAAGGAGAAGAAAACGUCCUGAUGUAAUAACAACAACUGACUGGCUUGCUCCAGUCAUAUGAGACGGAACUUACAGUAGACAGGUCCUGGAAAAAUAUUACAAAAGGCUGGACAUUACCAUAGGCUUGGCUGUAAUACGUGCUCCCAGAAAGUCUUCUGCUCGGAACUUGCAAGAGUUCAUCCAAUCUGCUAAUAAGUACCUUUUGGUUGGCUACAAUGUUAUCUUUUACAUCUUGCUGGAUAGCUUCUCCAAGCUGCCUCCCAUAGUGUUAGGUCCCCUUCGAACAUUUAAAGUAUUUUUGGUGAUCAAAGAGAAUAUAUGGAAAAAAAAAGAUAAUAUAUGGGAAGACUUACAUUUCAUAUACAUGAAGAACUUACUUGACUACAUCAUAACACACAUCCAGCAUGAAGUCAACUUUCUCUUCAUUAUGACUGCAAACCAGAUCUUCAAGGAUGACUUUGGAGUGGAAACCCUGGGAAAAUCUGUAGCUCAACUUAGUGCAUGGUGGUAUUUUAAAAAUGGUAAAACUUUCCCCUAUGAGAGAACGUAAAUCUGCAGCUUUCAUCCCUUUUGAAGAGGGAGAUUUCUAUUACCAUAGUGCAAUUUUUGGUGACACAGUCCAGGAGGUUUUAAACCUCCUUAAAGUAUAUCAGAAAGGAGCUAUUCAAGACACUGAAAAUAGACUUACCAGCACAUAUGAACAUCACCUAAACAAAUAUAUUUUUAUUAAGAAACCCACUAAAUUAUUAUCACCAGAAUACAAUUGGGAUCCAAGUUUUAGAACUCCUCCACAAAUUAAAUCUGUUAAGAUACCAUGGCAGUUAAAAAGUGUUUGAUGGUAUUAUUAUUAGAUUUAUGGAUUAACAAGUUCACUACAAUAAUUCCUCAAAUAUAAAACUCAUUAAAGUUUUCAGUGUUUUAGAAACUUACAAAAAUAUGCAAUCUUCCUAAAGAAAUUGUUUUUCUCCUUCCAAUUUUGAAAUAUCUAAAUCUACCUAUGCUGGAUUAAGAAUAAAUGGUUAUUAAUUUAAUGUUAAUGCACAGUGAUGUUAUUAUAUAUAAAAUAUAGAUAUAUAUUAUAAAUAAUGUAAAAAUGCUUUUGAAGGCAUAAAAUGAAUGUUUCAUGAAGAAACACAUCCAGACUGUAGUUCAAAAAAUAAUAAUAGAUGGAUAGAUAAAUAGGUACAUAGGUAGACAGAGAGACAGAUAGACAGAUAGAUAUACACACAAAUAAUCAAAGGGAUAUGUGUAAGGGAAAAAUAUUCAUCAACUCACUCAUCAAAUAUUUACUCAGUUUUUUUAGUGUUGGGAUAUAUAUUGCUUGUGAUUAAUCUCCACAAUUAGUAUUCAUUCUAUCUAGUGCCUGAUUGAAUUUAAGUGAACUAAAGACAUUCUAUGAAAUACGUAUCUUACUUUUAUUGUUACAAAGAUAUUGAGUUCAUUUUCUUUUUAAUGCUACAAGAAUUUUAUUUUAAAAAAUUAGAUAUCUACUGAAUUCCACGGUAGGUAUAUGAGAUGCAGUCAGGGAUAGAAAAAAUGUUUCAAAAAUAUAUCAUGUGCCCUCAAGCAGCCUACAGUCUAGCAAGGGAGAUAAAACUAAUCAUAAAUAUCUCUUUUACGAGUUUAAAAGUGCCAAAAGCUCAUAAGGAAGACACGGCUAAAACGCAUGUGGUUCAGGAAAGGGAGCAAUCAUCUUCAUAAGAACCUUUAUGUAGUCACAUCCACUAUGUUUCCGUAAACUAGUGAGGUAUUACAGCAUAGUUACAAGAGCUAGAGGUUCUAAAGUCAAAAUAGGUUAUUAUUUUAAUCCUCUUUUUUGGGAGAAAAACUGAGUCUUAGUAAGUAGUCUAUAAAAGAUAAGGAUUAUUGGCUAUUGAAAACACUAAAAUUAAGGAAUAUUGAUGAUGACUGUGGCAGGAAGACCUUAUGAUGGUCCCCGAUGAUCCCCAUACCCUGGUAUUCAUGUCCUUGUGUAGUCCCCCCCACCUGUCCAGCUGCAUUGUGAGCUGAAUGUAGUGACUUCCUUCCAAUCUAUAGAAUAUAACAAAGAUGUUGGGAUGUCCCUUUCAUGAUUAGGUUACAUAUGAUUGUGAUUUCCAUCUUACUAGCAGACUCUCUUUCUUGCUGUCUUUGAUGAAGCAAGUUGAAAUGUUGGAGAGGCCCUCAUAGCAAGGAACUGAGGGCAGUCAUCAGCCAACAGCUAGAAAGGAACUGAGGCCUUCAGUCCAACAACCCUCAAGGAACUGAAUUCUGCCAACAACCAUGUAAGUGAGUUUAGAAGCAGAUCUUUCCCCAGUUGAGUCUUCACAUGAGACCUUAUCUCCAGCCAACACCUUGAUUGCAGCCUUGUGAGAGACCCAGAAGUAGAAGGUCCAGCUAAACCAUGCCCAGAUUGUUGUGUUUUUUUUAAAAUAGAUUAAUUUAAUUUAUUUAUUUAUUGGCUGCGUUGCGUCUUCUGUGGCUGUGCACGGGCUUUCUCUAGU